UACGUAGGCAGCAAGCGUUGUUCGGAGUUACUGGGCGUAAAGGGUGUGUAGGCGGUUGUUUAAGUUUGGUGUGAAAUCUCCCGGCUCAACUGGGAGGGUGCGCCGAAUACUGAAUGACUAGAGUGCGGGAGAGGAAAGUGGAAUUCCUGGUGUAGCGGUGAAAUGCGUAGAUAUUGGGAGGAACACCAGUGGCGAAGGCGGCUCACUGGACCGGUACUGACGCUGAUGCGCGAAAGCGUGGGGAGCAAACGGG
rnacentral:rRNA from 1 species